UCUCCUUCCAAAUCGAGCCGCGGCGGCUGAGGUCCAACAAAUCCCCAACCCUAAUGGCUUGCCAAUGGCGACGGCGGUGUAGAUCCUGUACCUAGAUGGGCGACCUUGGCUACUGGAGGAAGCUUUCCAUUUCUGCCCCUAGAUGUACCUAGCUGGGCGACCUUGGCUACUGGAGGAAUCUUGGUCGUCUUGUCGCCGGUGGUCGGGCUGCACGGGCGGACCUCUCCUGUGCUGCGCCGCGACGCUGUCCGAGCCAAUCUCCAGCACAUAAGCCUCGAUGAGCAAGAAGCACCAACACCGAAGAUGCUCAUGUCCAAGUGGCCAGAUUACGAGGAGAGAGCAAGACUUGCUUGAUGCCAAAACCCCUGUAACUGAGUGGUCUGUCCACUCUGCUUUGCAUUGAGUUUUUAUCAGAGUUGUAGAUCAUGGACCAAUGGACCAAUCCUUGCCGAGAAUUGAAAUCAGAAUUAUGUAAUUCUGCAUAUGGUAGUUGUUAACCUGCUUUAUGCAUGUUUCUACUGAUUAAUUCUGCUUGUAAUAAGCGUAGAUUAUUGCUGGAUCUUGGUUGCUUCGCUUCCUGCCAUGCUUUUGCUAUUGGAAAGAAUUAUUGUGUUCCUGCAUAUAAGAGCUACUGUGUUUGGAUGAUGG
rnacentral:rRNA from 1 species